rnacentral:lncRNA from 1 species
AUGUUGUUUAUUUAUAGUGCAGCGACAAUGGGAGGGGGAAUGGAAGCAAAUACUGCUCCAAAUUUUCCUACACAGUAAAGAAAAAAUAGUAAUUAAUAUAGAGUUGGUUAGUUAGUCUUUUAUUAGGUAGGUAGGUAGUUAGUUAAUUUCUCACAAACUCUGCGUAUAGAGCUUCUCAUGAACUGAUUUACUAUCUUUUAUCAAUAUGAAAUAUUCUAGGGAAUUUUCCUUUCUGUCAUACUCUCAAAUUUAAUGCACACAUGAGAUUCAUCAAAAUCUCUAUGAUCAUGU